rnacentral:lncRNA from 1 species
CGGCAGGGGACGUAUGGAACGGCCUUCAUCAAGCACGAGGGACGUAGGGAUGUCGAGACAAUCACAAAGUGGAAGAAUGCUCUGGCAAAUAUUGCUGGGAUUUUGGCAUUUGAAUUGGAGGAUGUGGACAUGGGAUAAGUCUGACGGCUUGAUUAGUCUUGCUUUACUUGUCUAGCCUUCAGAAUGAAAAGAUCGGAGAAUGGGCUAGCGUAUUAACAUGCUCACCGUGCUCCUUCUAGAUCAAUUAACUUCUUGGGAUUUUUCUUUUCUUUAAUAGCAAUGCAUUUUCAUAUCUCGUCUUGUCUUCUCUCUAAUGUUGCAGUAAAAUCAGCACGUCCGUCUUCUAUCUAAAAAAAAUCUGUCUUUCAUUUUGUAGGUGUCAUGAAUUUCUAAAGAAUGUUGUUUCCCAACUUAGACAACUGUUAAAGAAUGGAUGAGCAAUGCCUGCCUAAAGAUUUAGUUGGAAUAAACAGAGAUGUGUGAGAUAUGAUGAAAAAACUUGGUGUCAGUUUUGAGAAUGGACAAGUUGUUGAAGGACAGAAGACGAUGGGGAAAUGCGUGGUUGCAAUAUGCGAUUUACCAGGGGUUGGCGAAAACACUCUCGCAAAGGUUGUAUACAACAAAAUCAGUUGCCUCUUUGAUGGUUGUAGUUUUCUUGAAAAUGUUCGAGAUGAUAUUGAACAGUAUGGAGUGGUAUCUCUGCAGAAGAAGUUAAUUCAAGACCUCAAUAGAAGAGAACCACCAGAUGUGAAAACGUCGAAUGACAGUACCACAUUGAUAGAAAGACUAUUCCGAACACGAAGAGUUCUCGUUGUCUUCGAUGAUGUGGACCACUUCAACCAAAUUAAACCAUUGCCUGAGGCGCUAACUUAGUUUGGUCUGGGAAGCCGGAUCAUCCUAACAAUCAGAAACAGAAAUGUCAUAGAAGGUUACGAGCAUGGAGAAAUCAAGGAACACGAGGUUUUACCUAUGAAUGAUGGUCAUGCUCUUGAACUCUUCUGUAAGCAUGCUUCUCGACUGAAUUUUCCCUUAGAAAAAUACGGUUCUCUGCCAAAAAAACAUUGUUUCUGCCGUCGGAAAUCUUCCUCCUUCUAUUGAAAUUGUGGUGCCGUAUUUGUGUAGGAAGAGCAGGAAGAGCGAAGCAAUAUGGAGAGAGACUUUGCAAAUAUUAGAAAGAGAACCGGGAAAAUAAGUAAAAGAUUUGUUGAUACAAAGCUAUGAUCUUUUGGAGGAAAAGACAAAACAAAUAUUCCUAGAUAUAGUAUGUUUCUUUGUAGGGGUUCAAAAGACAAUUCCUUUUUGCAUGUGGGAGGUUUGCGAAGGUUGCCCAAAUAGAGGUGUUGAUGAACUUCAGAAUGUGUCAUUUCUAAAAGUUGGAGAAGAAAAUGAGUUUUAGAUGCACAACCAAUUAAAAAUGUUGGGAAGAGGAAUUGUCAAGAACGAAAAUAUUAAAAGCCCUGAGGCACACAGCAGGCUGUGGGAUUAUGAAGAUGUCCAUAUAAUAUUAAGCGAAAGCGAGGGAAAAUCAAUACCUCAAGGUCUUUGAAACACCUGAUCCUGAAAGGAUGUCGAUUAUUAUUACCAACAAUUCAUGAAUCUAUAUCUAGCUUAGAGAAUUUAGUUAUCUUAAACAUUAACAAUUGUAGAUAUGUUAAAAAUUUGUCACAAGUACUGUAUUACUUAAAAGCAUUGAAGAAGCUUCUCAUUGAUGGAACUAGAAUUGAAAGUCUUCAUUUCAUGGAAGUCUUUCUGCCAGUCCUUGAAAUUCUCAAUGCUUGUGAAUGUGAACUUUUGAAAGAAGUCACUAAUUCCAUUGGAUUGUUAAAGAAUCUUCAGAAGCUUACUUUAAGAAAUUGCAAACAGCUAAGAGAACUUCCACAUUCCAUAGGAGAGCUUGUUCAGCUAAAAGAAAUGGAUCUGUCCUACAUGUCAAUUAAAAAAUUACCUUCUUCAUUCAAGGAUUUGAAAAAUCUUGAAGUUCUAAAGAUG